ensembl:lncRNA
CAUCCGUGGGGCAGCUGUGGGGCGGCGGCGGCCCCAUGGCUGGGGGAGGAUGUGGGGCGGAUGUGGGGCAGGGACGGGGCGGAUGUGGGGCAGGGACGGGGCGGAUAUGGGGUGGCUGUGGGGCAGCGGUGGCCCGUGGCCGUGGGGAGUAUGUGGGGCAGCUGAGGGGCAGUUAUGGUGUGGUUGUGGGGCAGUUAUGGGGUGGCUGUGGGGCAGCUGUGGGGCAGUGAUGGGGUGGCUGUGGGGCAGCCCCAUAGCGAUGUGGGGCCGGGGGCUGUAGGACGGAACACCACAGACACCAAAGCUGCAUCUCCAGACUUUAUUACGGUGCCGCAGAGCAGCGCUAUGGGGCGGCGUUAUGGGGCAGCGCCGUGGGGAGGCGCUAUGGGGCAGCGCCGUGGGGUAGAGCUAUGGGGCAGGGUUAUGGGGCAGCGCCGUGGGGCGGCGCUAUGAGGCAGAGCCGUGGGGCAGGGCUAUGGGGCAGCUAUGGGGCAGAGCUAUGGGGCAGCUAUCGGGAGGCUAUGGGACGGCUCUGGGGCAGCUAUGGGUCAGAGCUAUGGGGCAGGGCUACGGGGCAGCUAUGGGGCAGGGCUAUGGGUCGGAGCUAUGGGGCAGCUAUGGGGCAGCUAUGGGUCGGAGCUAUGGGACAGCUAUGGGGCAGCUACAGGCCGGCUAUGGGGCAGCUAUGGGUCAGAGCUACGGGUCGGAGCUAUGGGUCGGAGCUAUGGGGCGGCUAUGGGCGGGGGCGACGUGGCUGGAGGAGACGGAGGAGACCUGCGUGGCCUGCGAGGAGCCCGACACGUCCUCGUCGUCCCCGAACGGACUGCGGCCGCAGAACAGCAGCUUCAGCAUGCACGAGCGGAACUGCAACGGCACCGCGUCAGCGCCGCCGGCAGCGGCGGGGGGCAGUGGGGCACUGAGCAUCUAUGGGGCGCGGGGGCAGUGGGGGG